UACGUAGGUGGCUAGCGUUGUCCGGAUUUACUGGGCGUAAAGAGCGCGCAGGCGGUCGUUCAAGUCGAGUGUGAAAGCCCCCGGCUCAACUGGGGAGGGUCACUCGAUACUGAUCGACUUGAAGGCGGGAGAGGGAAGCGGAAUUCCCGGUGUAGUGGUGAAAUGCGUAGAUAUCGGAAGGAACACCAGUGGCGAAAGCGGCUUCCUGGUCCAGCACCGACGUUCAGGCACGAAAGCGUGGGGAGCAAACAGG
rnacentral:rRNA from 1 species